GCAGCCCAAAGUUCUCAGUCUGUGCUGUGAGAGGCAAUCUCAUUGGUGAUGGUGCUUGGGAGAGCCCUGGCUGUGCUGCCCACCUCCACACUCACGCUGCUUCUGCAACCACAUAUCUUUGUGGCACCCCUUAACCACCUCCUCCCAUACAGUUGCCUCUUGCAAUUGUAUUCCUACCUUUCCCUGAGAGCCAUGGGCCUGUGAGAUGGCCAGCACAGUGCCAUGUGUCCCCAUCACCAUCUGGUCCAGGGACGAGGGCAAAGAAACAACUGGUGGGCUAUUGCCUCUGAGAUGGCCAAGUCACACUCAUAGAGAAUAGCUGCAUACAGAAGAAAAGACGGUGUAUAACUUCUGUGUUUGCCUUUGAGACUAGGAGUGUUAUGUAAUCAGCAAAUGCUAAUUUUUUCAUUCCGUGAUCAAGAAAGUGGCUGCUGUCAAACUCAAAACAUCUUGAAGCAAAAAUUAGCAUGAAUCCCAGCUUCUUUAUGAAACAUUUCUUCCAGAUCCAGCAAACUACUUAAUUUCCUUCCACUUUCUUUUGUUAUUCUGCUGUUGUUUACAGAACCAGCUUUUUUUAUUCAGCUCUACAAAAUGAGAGUUGUGGCUUUUUUCACAAGGGACAAUGGUUUUAAACUAAGAAAGGAGAUACUCAGUUCGGAUGUGAGGAAAAAAAAUCUUUACAAUGAGGGUGGUAAUAUACUGGAACAGGUUGCACAGAGAGGUGGUGGAAAUACCAUCUCUGGGGCCAUUGGAGGCCAGACUGGAUGUGGUUCUGGGCAACCUGUGAUAUAGCUGAAGAUGUCCCUGCUCAUUGCACCUUUGAAGGUCCCUUCCAACCCAAAUUAUUCUAUGAUUCUCUGAAGCACUCACACUAUAAGAGCUGUUGUUAAGUCUUUGGUUAGUAUGUCAAUCCAUCUGGAUCCUACCAGCCUUACCUACUCUAAUGGACAUGUAUUAUGGUUUACAGUGUAAUCAGAUGAUUUCUCAGUUGCACCUUGUAAUUUCUAGAGGAUCUCUCACAAAAAGACACACAAGGUGGCCUGGAAUAAAAUAUGACUAAUGGCACCAUAUUCUGCUCUAAGCUGCUGAGCCAAGAAAAUCUUUCAGAAUGACUAAAAGAUACAUUUCAAAGAGGAAGAACACAGAUCCUCCUUCUCAUUUUCCAUGGCUGAAAAAACCUCCAAAGAUCCUCUAAACACAGAAAGGCCCACUGUAACUUGAAUAAACACUGAUAUAGAUGAGCCUUAUUCAUAUAGAAAUUGCAAGGUAUACAGCAAAAGACAGUGUUGUAAAUGAUGAUAGAAAAUAAUUUCAUCCAUUUCAUCUUGGUUUUAGAAGUCCUAACAUUGUGGAGUGCUUACGUGUUGUUGUCUUAUGAGAGAGCCUGAGGAGUUACUGCUCUUUUGUUUGCCUGCCUCACUGCCUCAGCUCUACCAUGUACUCUGCUGUGCAUAGAUGUGGAUGAUAGCUAGUUCUGCUUUUUUGUUUCCCUUUCUCUCUUGUCUAUGUCUGCAAUAAAACGCCUGUACUGCAACAGCAAUGAAUAUGCUGAAUGGUCUAAAUGAUGUGAAGGAGGGACUCGCUUCCUUUGAUGCAAUCUUUUUCUUGGAGAUGUUUUUCAGGUGAAAUUGAGCAAGACCUGAAUGGAACUUUUUUUUUUAUUGCAGAUGAGAAAGAAGCAGCUUUCUUGAUGCAUGUGGAAGACUCCCACAGAAAUUAAUAAGGCCUUGG